AGAGGGGCUGCUCACAACGGAGGGAGUGGACCUGAUUGCUUCCUCCAGGUGAAGCAGUAUAGCCAAAGGACAUAGUGCAGAUGGUCACUCUGAGCCACACCUGACCUCUCAAGUACAGGCUCUAGACUCGAAAGCAGGAAAUAGCAGGCUGCAUCUUCUCCUUCGCAACAAACUGUGAAGAGCUUCAGCAGGAGGGCUUGGCUUCAGGGAGAGGCAAUGUAUUGGAACACAUUGCAAAAAACACUUCAUGCAAGAAAAUGUUGGGAAGAUGUCUUAGGCUGACGACACAGUUCAGUUGCAAAGUGCAGUGCUGGACGAGUCUCACAGAAGGAACCUGACGCAGGUCUGCUGCAAUUUAUACCAGCUGCUAUAUAUAUAUGGAAGACCUGGGGAAGAACUAUGGUG
rnacentral:lncRNA from 1 species